GGAAAUAUAGCUCAGUGAUAGAGUGAUUGCCUAGAAUGCACAAUUCCCUGGGUUCAAUCCCCAGUACCA
rfam:Heterocephalus glaber contig211895, whole genome shotgun sequence.